rnacentral:rRNA from 1 species
UACGAACCGUCCAAACGUUAUUCGGAAUCACUGGGCUUAAAGGGUGCGUAGGCGGCGCGGAAAGUUGGGUGUGAAAUCCCUCGGCUUAACCGGGGAACUGCGUCUGAUACUGGAUGGCUUGAGUUUGGGAGAGGGAUGCGGAAUUCCAGGUGUAGCGGUGAAAUGCGUAGAUAUCUGGAGGAACACCGGUGGCGAAGGCGGCAUCCUGGACCAAUACUGACACUGAAAAGCGAAAGCCAGGGGAGCAAACGGG